GACGAACGCUGGCGGCGUGCUUAACACAUGCAAGUCGAACGGUGAAGCGCCUUCCUUUUUGGUGGGUGUGGAUGAGUGGCGAACGGGUGAGUAACACGUGAGUAACCUGCCCCCUUCUUCUGGAUAACCGCAUGAAAGUGUGGCUAAUACGGGAUAUUCUGGGUCUGUCGCAUGAUGGGUCUGGGAAAGAUAUUGUUUCGGUGGGGGAUGGGCUCGCGGCCUAUCAGCUUGUUGGUGGGGUGAUGGCCUACCAAGGCGGUGACGGGUAGCCGGCCUGAGAGGGUGGACGGUCACACUGGGAAUGAGACACGGCCAAGACUACGACGGGAGGCAGCAGUGGGGAAUAUUGAACAAUGGGAGCAAGCCUGCUGCAGCGACGCCGCGGGAGGGAUGGAGGCCUUCGGGUUGUGAACCUCUUUCGCCAGUGAAGCAGGCCUGCCUCGUUUGUGGGUGGGUUGACGGUAGCUGGAUAAGAAGCGCCGGCUAACUACGUG
rnacentral:rRNA from 1 species